rnacentral:hammerhead_ribozyme from 1 species
AUCCAACUGUCGCGUCCUAAAUAGAACGAAACGUGCGCCUUGGAU